AGUGAACGCUGGCGGUAGGCCUAACACAUGCAAGUCGAACGGCAGCACAGUAAGAGCUUGCUCUUACGGGUGGCGAGUGGCGGACGGGUGAGGAAUACAUCGGAGUCUACUUUUUCGUGGGGGAUAACGUAGGGAAACUUACGCUAAUACCGCAUACGACCUACGGGUGAAAGCAGGGGAUCUUCGGACCUUGCGCGAGUGAAUGAGCCGAUGUCGGAUUAGCUAGUUGGCGGGGUAAAGGCCCACCAAGGCGACGAUCCGUAGCUGGUCUGAGAGGAUGAUCAGCCACACUGGAACUGAGACACGGUCCAGACUCCUACGGGAGGCAGCAGUGGGGAAUAUUGGACAAUGGGCGCAAGCCUGAUCCAGCCAUACCGCGUGGGUGAAGAAGGCCUUCGGGUUGUAAAGCCCUUUUGUUGGGAAAGAAAAGCAGCAGGUUAAUACCCCGCUGUUCUGACGGUACCCAAAGAAUAAGCACCGGCUAACUUCGUG
rnacentral:rRNA from 1 species